rnacentral:rRNA from 1 species
AUACGGAGGGUGCAAGCGUUACUCGGAAUCACUGGGCGUAAAGCGCGCGCAGGCGGUCUUUUAAGUUGGAUGUGAAAGCCUACGGCUCAACCGUAGAACUGCAUCCAAAACUAUUAGACUAGAGUGUGGGAGAGGAAGAUGGAAUUAGUUGUGUAGGGGUAAAAUCCGUAGAGAUAACUAGGAAUACCAAAAGCGAAGGCAAUCUUCUGGAACACUGCUGACGCUGAGGCGCGAAAGCGUGGGGAGCAAACGGGAUUAGAAACCCUAGUAGUCC